UACGUAGGUGGCAAGCGUUGUCCGGAUUCAUUGGGCGUAAAGAGCGUGUAGGCGGCCAGGUAGGUCGGUUGUGAAAACUGGAGGCUCAACCUUCAGAGGUCGACCGAAACCAUCUGGCUAGAGUCCGGGAGAGGAGAGUGGAAUUCCUGGUGUAGCGGUGAAAUGCGCAGAUAUCAGGAGGAACACCGGUGGCGAAGGCGGUUCUCUGGGCAUGUUCUGACGCUGAGGAGCGAAAGUGUGGGGAGCGAACAGG
rnacentral:rRNA from 1 species